GGAUAUGAGAGCAACCUGGCUAUGACAUCUGUCACUCUGGGUUGAUUAGACUGGUCUGGCUGGCUAAGCAGUGCCUCCCCUCUCUCUCAUUGUUCCCGGGGUACCCCUCCUGAAAGGACACACUUGGUCAGUGAAGCAGGCCUCCACCCUCACACGGUAAGGGUCAUUCUUCAGUCAAGAGCAUAGGAGAAGCUACUUCCUGCUAGACCCCUAAGUCCCAUGAAGGAUCUUCUGAUUCUAAUUCAGAUGUGUC
rnacentral:snRNA from 1 species